GGGCCAACAGAAAACAACAUCAAGAUGCUCGGAAAGGACUUUCUCUUUCGAACAAACAUAAUGGCACGUCAUCUUCAAUCGGCUAACCGUUUGGAAUAAGCGCUCAUCAUCGGUUUCAUGGCAGGGAAGUGAGCAGGCAAAAGAAGGCAUCGUUUUUUCCGCAAGGUCGCUCUGGUCAAAAUUUCAGCGAAUUGCAAGGAAUAAACCACCCGAGGGACAGUACCCGUGGACGAUUUCCCAUACUUUGUACCUUGCUAUUGAAUUUUAAUACCCGAUCGAAACGAUGCCGAUAACUGGGUCAAAAAGACGACGGAUCAAGAAAUUUCUGCACUCGGUUAGCGAACUGAGUACAUAUCAUCGAGGAUAAGGAUUCAGAGCCGGCGGCUGGCAGUCCAGAGAAAGAGAAUGCGGAAAAACCUAGUCCACCGGCAGUAGAACCAAAGCUGCACCUGAUGUUUGGAGUUCGGUAGCUACAGAAAUUCUGACUCUAGCAGCUCCUGAAGAAAAACAAGCUGCAAGAGAAAAUGGAGAAACACCUUCCUCCGCGGAAGAUGCAGAGGCAUUCAACCCGGCGGAUGCAAGUUUGCUAAUGAAAGAUGUUCACUAAGGUCUAGUAGAAUCAAAGCUGGAUCUGAAGGUGCAGCGAAAGGAUUCUUCUUCGCCGGUUGGUUGGUUAAAACUUUCGAAGUUUUGCACGUGAAGCCGGGAUUACUUCAGGGAGUCUAUGCGAUGGGUUUCAACGCCCUUCCAAGAUUCAGGAGAUGGCUCUGUUGGCCGGUCCGCCACGGAAUAUAAUCGCCCAGAGUCAGUCGGGAACAGGAAAAAACCGCUGCCUUUGUGCUGGCAAUGCACAGUUGAGUCCAUCAGUUAAAAAACUAUCUGCAGGUGAUUUGCCUUUCCCCCACGUAUGAGCUGGCAAUUCAGAAGGGGGAAGUAGCUGCCAAAAUGGCAAAGUUUUGUCCGGAAAUCAAACUUCUAUACGCCGUUCGCGGUGAGGAGACCGUCAAAGGGGCGAAGCUGACUAAUCAUAUCAUCAUCGGAACACCCGGCAAGCUAAUUGACUGGGGUAUAAAGUUCAGGACGUACGACCUAGUUUUUCCUUUUUGUACUGGACGAGGCGGGUGUUAUGGUCGGUGUUCUUCUUGGCCACGUACGAGCGCGAGGUAAUGGAGUUUGCCGAGUACAUCGUACCCAAUCCGAUCGUCAUUCGGCAGGCGCGGGAGCAAGAAUCACUCGAUAACAUCAAACAGUACUACGUCAAGUUCCGCAACCAGGACGAGAAAUUGUGUGAUUACCGUCGGACAAGCGAUCAUUUUCUGUCAUAUGAUGUAUAGGACAGUUGUAAACGUCCAAGUAAACUUAUUUUCAGAACUGUUAAUCGAUCGAAACAGGUACGAAAAACGGCCGGUUGGUUGACCUGCAGGAUGUCCCAGGAUGGUCACUCGGUAGCGGUACUGUCCGGUAAUCUAACGGUGGAGCAACGGUUGGAACGAACGUUUUGUCCAGGGGUAUCGACGUCGAACAGGUGACCAUUGUCGUCAACUUCGACCUGCCGAUGGAUUAGCAGGGACGAGCCGAUUGCGAAACGUAUCUACAUCGAAUUAAACGCACCGGUAGAUUCGGUAAGUGUGACUCAUUCUUGUGAUCCUAUAGAUUGUAUUUCUUCCCACUUCUUUAACAGAACGGAAUCACCAUCAACCUAGUGGGCAGUGAUCGAAACAUGAUGAUUUGCAGAUCAAUCAAAAAACACUUCCGGAAAAAGAUUCAGUUGCGCGGAGAACUCGGACGAAAUUGAAAAGAUCGCACCGUAAAGUGUUUUCGACCAGCUACUGGUCAUACUUGUUUUGAUUCUGAAUUUAUAAUUUUAUAUUUUUUUAAUUUACAAAUGUAACCAACAGGGUAUCGCAAGCUAAUA